rnacentral:rRNA from 1 species
GACGAACGCUGGCGGCGUGCUUAACACAUGCAAGUCGAACGAUGAAGCCCUUCGGGGUGGAUUAGUGGCGAACGGGUGAGUAACACGUGGGCAAUCUGCCCUUCACUCUGGGACAAGCCCUGGAAACGGGGUCUAAUACCGGAUAAUACUUUUCCUCUCAUGGGGAAAGGUUGAAAGCUCCGGCGGUGAAGGAUGAGCCCGCGGCCUAUCAGCUUGUUGGUGGGGUAAUGGCCUACCAAGGCGACGACGGGUAGCCGGCCUGAGAGGGCGACCGGCCACACUGGGACUGAGACACGGCCAAGACUCCUACGGGAGGCAGCAGUGGGGAAUAUUGCACAAUGGGCGAAAGCCUGAUGCAGCGACGCCGCGUGAGGGAUGACGGCCUUCGGGUUGUAAACCUCUUUCAGCAGGGAAGAAGCGAAAGUGACGGUACCUGCAGAAGAAGCGCCGGCUAACUACGUGCCAGCAGCCGCAGUAA